UACGUAGGGUCCGAGCGUUGUCCGGAAUUACUGGGAGUAAAGAGCUCGUAGGUGGUUUGUCGCGUUGUUCGUGAAAACUCACAGCUCAACUGUGGGCGUGCGGGCGAUACGGGCAGACUAGAGUACUGCAGGGGAGACUGGAAUUCCUGGUGUAGCGGUGGAAUGCGCAGAUAUCAGGAGGAACACCGGUGGCGAAGGCGGGUCUCUGGGCAGUAACUGACGCUGAGGAGCGAAAGCGUGGGGAGCGAACAGG
rnacentral:rRNA from 1 species